GCCCGGGUGGCGGAAUUGGUAGACGCGAUAGAUUUAGGAUCUAUUGUCUUAGGGCGUGAGAGUUCGAGUCUCUCCUCGGGCACCA
rnacentral:tRNA from 1 species